rnacentral:rRNA from 1 species
UACGUAGGGGGCAAGCGUUGUCCGGAUUUAUUGGGCGUAAAGAGCGUGUAGGCGGCUAGAUAGGUCCGUUGUGAAAACUCGAGGCUCAACCUCGAGACGUCGAUGGAAACCAUCUGGCUAGAGUCCGGAAGAGGAGAGUGGAAUCCUGGUGUAGCGGUGAAAUGCGCAGAUAUCAGGAAGAACACCCGUGGCUAAGGCGGCUCUCUAGUACGGUACUGACGCUGAGACGCGAAAGCGUGGGGAGCGAAACAGG